rnacentral:rRNA from 1 species
GUGGGGAAUCUUAGACAAUGGGGGCAACCCUGAUCUAGCCAUGCCGCGUGAGUGAAGAAGGCCCUAGGGUCGUAAAGCUCUUUCGCCUGUGAAGAUAAUGACGGUAGCAGGUAAAGAAACCCCGGCUAACUCCGUGCCAGCAGCCGCGGUAAUACGGAGGGGGUUAGCGUUGUUCGGAAUUACUGGGCGUAAAGCGCGCGUAGGCGGACCAUUAAGUCGGGGGUGAAAUCCCGGGGCUCAACCCCGGAACUGCCUUCGAUACUGGCGGUCUGGAGUUCGAGAGAGGUGAGUGGAAUUCCGAGUGUAGAGGUGAAAUUCGUAGAUAUUCGGAGGAACACCAGUGGCGAAGGCGGCUCACUGGCUCGAUACUGACGCUGAGGUGCGAAAGUGUGGGGAGCAAACAGGAUUAGAAACCCGGGUAGUCC